rnacentral:lncRNA from 1 species
CCCACGUUGAUCUCCACCCCUGGGAACUGGGCAGCCCCCCCCUCGAGGCUUUCUGCAGAGCCUGGGGAACUCUCCCUCCGUCUGGCAAUCUCCUGCUUCAGUUUGUCGAACUUCUCGGUCAACUGCGGGCAGGUCACGGCCUCCGCGAGGUCCUGCUUGACCCGCUGCUUCAUUGACUCGAUCCUGCUCCUCGUUUCCAGAUCGGGCGAGGGCCCGGCCUUCGCCAUCUCCAGUUUCAGCAUCUCUAUUCUGUCGUUCAGGUCCGCUGACUUGCUCGUGUCUGCGAUCCUCUUGGCGAUCUGAUCCUCCAAAUCCUCCAUCUCCUCCCCAAGCUCAGCGUAGGGCGGCCGCUCAAAUAACUCCCUCACUCCGGAAGCCUCCGCCCUGGGGGCGACCCCCUCAACGCUCA